rnacentral:rRNA from 1 species
AUUGAACGCUGGCGGCAGGCCUAACACAUGCAAGUCGAACGAGUGGCGGACGGGUGAGUAAUGUCUGGGAAACUGCCUGAUGGAGGGGGAUAACUACUGGAAACGGUAGCUAAUACCGCAUACCAUCGGAUGUACCCAGAUGGGAUUCGCUAGUAGGUGGGGUAAAGCCUCACCUCGUCGACGAGCCCUAGCUGGGCUUAGAGGAUGACCGUCCACACUGGAACUGAGACACGUCCCAGACUCCUACGGGAGGCAGCAUUGGGGAAUAUGGCACAAUGGGCGCAAGCCUGAGGCAGCCAUGCCGCGUGUAUGAAGAAGGCCUUCGGGUUGUAAAGUACUUUCAGCGGGGAGGCGUUACCCGCAGAAGAAGCACCGGCUAACGCCGUGCCAGCAGCCGCGGUAAUUC